ensembl:lncRNA
CUUCACGCUCCUGGCCCUGCAUCCUAGGAUUUCCUGUGUUGCAGAGUCGCUGUGGGGCUGGUUGCUUGCAGCUGGUGCUAAUAAGGCCACCGUCUGGGUUCAGGCCCCAUCGGGGCCUGUUCACUCUGCUCCGCGGCCAGAGGCUGAAGCUCCGUGUUCACGUCUGGUCAAGGGCACGUGGCAAAGGGGGCGGGCGACCUCUCCGGGAGGAAGUUACUCCUCAUGGUGUCUUCACCGCUGCAGAGGUCAGCACGGUUUUCUCCAGGAUUCUCUUCUCUCUAAGGAGUCUGUCAAGCCUAGGAUGUGAAGCUGAAUCAAUGCUGCUCUGCGAUGCUAUGGACACCAGGCCAGAGUGCCCUCCUGUUACACUAAUUGGCCUGGGCAGCUCUGCCCCUGGGGAGCUGAUUCCUUGGCCUCCCCCGGUGCCGGCUCAACUAAUAGCUCCAGCCUCUGAGUUGCCCCAGAGAACUACCAGCAGGCCCCCGUCUGCCUCCCCAAACCUGCCUCACUAGGCAUAGAAUAGGAA